ACGAACGCUGGCGGCAUGCCUAACACAUGCAAGUCGAACGGAGAUUGCUCAACAUCAAGUUUUUCAAACUUGACGACAGCGAUAAAAUUUAUGAGCGAAGCGAAUAAAUUUUAUCACGCAAAUAAGCAUGACUAAUAAUCAUCAAAUGUGAGAUUGAAGGAUUUGAUGUUGAGCAAUCUUAGUGGCGAACGGGUGAGUAACGCGUAGGCAACCUGCCCUUUAGAUGGGGACAACAUUCCGAAAGGGGUGCUAAUACCGAAUGUGAUUACUCUCUCGCAUGAGAGAGUAAUGAAAGAUGGCCUCUACAUGUAAGCUAUCGCUAAAGGAUGGGCCUGCGUCUGAUUAGCUAGUUGGUGGGGUAACGGCUCACCAAGGCGACGAUCAGUAGCCGGUCUGAGAGGAUGAACGGCCACAUUGGGACUGAGACACGGCCCAGACUCCUACGGGAGGCAGCAGUGGGGAAUCUUCCGCAAUGGGCGAAAGCCUGACGGAGCAAUGCCGCGUGAGUGAUGAAGGAAUUCGUUCCGUAAAGCUCUGUUGUUAAGGACGAAUGUGCAGGUUGCGAACAGUUACCUGUAAUGACGGUACUUAACGAGGAAGCCACGGCUAACUACGUGCCAGCAGCCGCGGUAAUACGUAUGUGGCGAGCGUUGUCCGGAAUUAUUGGGCGUAAAGAGCAUGUAGGCGGUUUUUUAAGUCCCGGAGUGAAAAUGCGGGGCUCAACCCCGUAUGGCUCUGGAUACUGGAAGACUUGAGUGCAGGAGAGGAAAGGGGAAUUCCCAGUGUAGCGGUGAAAUGCGUAGAUAUUGGGAGGAACACCAGUGGCGAAGGCGCCUUUCUGGACUGUGUCUGACGCUGAGAUGCGAAAGCCAGGGUAGCGAACGGGAUUAGAUACCCCCGGUAGUCCUGGCCGUAAACGAUGGGUACUAGGUGUAGGAGGUAUCGACCCCUUCUGUGCCGGAGUUAACGCAAUAAGUACCCCGCCUGGGGAGUACGUCCGCAAGGAUGAAACUCAAAGGAAUUGACGGGGGCCCGCACAAGCGGUGGAGUAUGUGGUUUAAUUCGACGCAACGCGAAGAACCUUACCAAGGCUUGACAUUGAGUGACCGCUCUAGAGAUAGAGCUUCUCCUUAGGGAGCACGAAAACAGGUGGUGCAUGGCUGUCGUCAGCUCGUGUCGUGAGAUGUUGGGUUAAGUCCCGCAACGAGCGCAACCCCUAUCCUAUGUUACCAGCGGGUAAUGCCGGGGACUCAUAGGAGACUGCCAAGGACAACUUGGAGGAAGGCGGGGAUGACGUCAAGUCAUCAUGCCCCUUAUGUCUUGGGCUACACACGUACUACAAUGGUCGGCAACAGAGGGAAGCGAAGCCGCGAGGCAGAGCAAACCCCAGAAACCCGAUCUCAGUUCGGAUUGCAGGCUGCAACUCGCCUGCAUGAAGUCGGAAUCGCUAGUAAUCGCAGGUCAGCAUACUGCGGUGAAUACGUUCCCGGGCCUUGUACACACCGC
rnacentral:rRNA from 1 species